GCUUGUCUCAAAGAUUAAGCCAUGCAUGUCUAAGUAUAACUCUUUUACUUUGAAAACUGCGAACGGCUCAUUAUAUCAGUUAUAGUUUCUUUGAUAGUCCCUUACUACUUGGAUACCCGUAGUAAUUCUAGAGCUAAUACAUGCUGGUUAGCCUGACUUUUAGGAAGGGCUGUAUUUAUUAGAUAACAAACCAAUAUUCCUCGUGUCUAUUGUGAUGACUCAUAAUAACUGAUCGAAUCGCAUGGGCCUUGCCCGCGAUACAUCAUUCAAGUUUCUGCCCCAUCAGCUUUCGAUGGUAGUGUAUUGGACUACCAUGGCUUUAACGGGUAACGGAGGAUUAGGGUUCGAUUCCGGAGAGGGAGCCUGAGAAACGGCUACCACAUCUAAGGAAGGCAGCAGG
rnacentral:rRNA from 1 species